UUCAUUUAUGUUUCUACUCAAUAUCGCGCUUUAUUGUGUGAUUAUUUGAAUGAUGGUUAUUAGUUUCUGCUGACUGAUAUUAGGUCGAGCUCAAUUUCUAUGAUAUCAAUGGCUCCUCAACUGCCAACGCAGUUUCUUGUUCAGACCCAGUAUGUAGUACUAUGGUUCCACCAGCAUCGUCUCACUGCUCAGCUGAAAGUAAACAGUGCGGUUACUCGUUUCAAUAUGGUGAUGGAAGUGGGACCUCAGGGUUUUAUGUGUCUACUAUGAUGUACUUUUAUAUGAUCUAGGGAGCUCUAUGAACGCUAAUUCACCUGCCUCUAUCGUUUUCAGAUGCAACAAUUAUCAAUCUGGAGAUUUGAUCAAUUCAGAACGUGCUCUUGAUGGGAUCUUUGGUUUUGGUCAGCAGGGCUUGUCCUUUGUAUCUCAAUUUUCUUCCAGGGUAAUAACACCUCAACCAUUUUCCCAUUUUUGAAAGGAGGAGGAAAUGGUGGGGUUAUUCUGGUGCUUGUAAGAUUUUGGGCCCAAGUAUUGCGUAUGGUCCACUUGUGCCAUCAUAGGAGGAGAGGAUGCUGCCAUUGUCAGAUACAUGUACACAAGGAUGACUGAAAUCACUAGAGAACUACUAGGAAAGAUACUGGAAUCACUUCACAGUUAGUGGAACUAUUGAGGUAGUGGAUGUAGACAGUGCAAGUGAUGCAAGUGAUGCAAG